AGAGUGUAUAUUAAAGUUGUUGCGGUUAAAAAGCUCGUAGUUGGACUUGAGGGAUUUAUAUAAAAGGGUCUUUGUUUUAAAGCAAAGUAUCUUUAUAUGUUUUUUCCUUUCUUUUUAUUUUCUUUUAAGAAGGGGCAACUCUUCUGUGGGGAUAGAUAGUUUACUUUGAAAAAAUUAGAGUGUUUAAAGCAGACAUGACAUGUACAAUUGAAUAUUACAGCAUGGGAUAAUAGAAUAGGACAUUAACCUUAAUUUUGUUGGUUUUGAAGGUUAAUAGUAAUGAUUAAAAGGGAUAGUUGGGGUCACUUGUAUUUGAUCGCUAGGGGUGAAAUCCUAUGAUUGCUCAAAGACAAACUACUG
rnacentral:rRNA from 1 species